rfam:Cryptococcus bestiolae CBS 10118 unplaced genomic scaffold supercont1.8, whole genome shotgun sequence.
AUCUACGACCACAGACUCGAUAAAGCACUGCAUCCCGACUGAUCUGCAAAGUUGAAGCUCGAGAUCGCUUGAUUAGUACCAAGGUCGGGGACAACUUGGGAAUCCCAAGUGUUGUAGUUU